rnacentral:tRNA from 1 species
GCAGAAGUAGUUCAACGGUAGAAUACAACCUUGCCAAGGUUGGGGUCGCGGGUUCGAAUCCCGUCUUCUGCUCCA